rnacentral:lncRNA from 1 species
UAUUUCAGAACUUAGUUUUUGUAAUAUGUCUAUAAGACUGUUUCUGGGUGGUAAGUAUAUAUCAUCAAGUGCUCUGCUCUGCACCUUUUAAGCCCUUUUCAUCAAAUGUUUGAACUUUGGUUUUUGCAAUAUAUAAGACUGUCUCUGGUUGGUCUCAUGAAGUGCUUUGUCUGCACCUUCAAGCUCUUUUUUGUUUGUUUAUCCAUUGCUUUAUUCUGUGGCUAAUUCAUCUGUUUGAUCUUUUGGUGUCUAGUUAUGAACUCAACAUUCAAGGACUUGGCUCAUUUCGUUGCUGGAGGCGUUGGAUUUGUGGUUUUGCAAGAGAAUGACCCGAGUUUUUACAUUUUCGGUAACUAUCUUUUGAACUCAUACAUAUUUGUAUGCUUAAAGUUUUUAACAUUAUCCAGUACACAUAUGUAUAUGCUUAUAUCACUACUUUCACAACUAUAAG